GACUUGAGUUAAGAAGUGAUGUAAGCUGAGGUAAAAGUCUCGAAAGAAGGGAAAAGCUAAAGCGUCGAGACGAAAUCGAGGCGAAUCAAGUCAGUGCCAUUUGGAAGUCGCAACGAGAGCGUUGCGAGAAUGGGUGGGGGAGAAUGUCAUGGCCGUAGUUCAAAGCCCGUGACCAUCGUACCAAAUGCAUCCAAUGGAGGUCUAUUGUUUAUAUGAGGAUUAUUUGUCCCACGAGUACUGGCCCAAUUCAAAGAAUUAUUGGAGAAACCUGUUAGAUUGAAGUCUGGUUGGCCCGAUAAUGAAGAUAUGACAACUUAGGCUAAUUUGGUAACUAAUCUUAGAAGAUUGAGGGAAUCAUAUCUUGUAAAUAUUAGAUUAGCUUUGAUAUGACAUAUCUUCUAAAUCCCUAAAAUAAAGGGAUAUGGUUAAUCUCGUCCGUCGAUGUAAAUGUAUCUUGACC
rnacentral:lncRNA from 1 species